rnacentral:rRNA from 1 species
UACGAAGGGGGCUAGCGUUGCUCGGAAUUACUGGGCGUAAAGGGAGCGUAGGCGGACAUUUAAGUCAGGGGUGAAAUCCCAGAGCUCAACUCUGGAACUGCCUUUGAUACUGGGUGUCUUGAGUGUGAGAGAGGUAUGUGGAACUCCGAGUGUAGAGGUGAAAUUCGUAGAUAUUCGGAAGAACACCAGUGGCGAAGGCGACAUACUGGCUCAUUACUGACGCUGAGGCUCGAAAGCGUGGGGAGCAAACAGGAUUAGAUACCCUGGUAGUCCACGCCGUAAACGAUGAUUGCUAGUUGUCGGGAUGUUUACAUCUCGGUGACGCAGCUAACGCAUUAAGCAAUCCGCCUGGGGAGUACGGUCGCAAGAUUAAA